rnacentral:lncRNA from 1 species
AUAAAAUGUAUAUUAAGGCAAGACUCCAAAACGUGAUUGGUAUCAAAGAGUGAAGCACGUGGUCUUACAUGUGCUUCAACCACACCAUUGCUGGGUGGUCAAGGGAAGUGAUUGUCCCGCUCUACCGUGCGCUGGUGCGGCCUCACCUCGAGUACCAUGUGCAGUCUGAGGUACCACAGUAUAAGGCCAUAAAACUAUUAGAGAUCCUCCAAAGCAGGGUGACAAAGUUGGUGAAGGGUCUAGAGGGGAAGACACAUGAGGAGCAGCUGAAGUAACUGGGAUUGUUCAGCCCAGAGAAGAGGAAACUGAGGGGAGGCCUCAUGGCGGCCUGCAGCUCCCUCACGAGGGGAGUGGAGGGGCAGGCACUGAGCUCUGGGGACAGUGACAGGACCCGAGGGAACGGCAUGGAGCUGGGACAGGGGGGGGUCAGGCUGGAUUUUUGGGUGCUCCUGUGUGGAGUCAGGAGUUGAACUCCAUGAUCCUUGUGGAUCCCUUCCAACUCAGGAUACUCCAUGAUUAUAAAUAAAAAAACAUUCUUCCAGUUUCACCAUGGACACAGACUUCUGACAACUGCUUGGAUAGAAGUGUUGGAGCCUGAGAAAUUGGCAUGUUUCAGGCGUUUGGACAUGCUUACCCUGAGUUUGUCCUGACCUACCUAGAGGAACUAAAUGAAAGAGGAGGUGACCCAGACAGAAAACCGCAUUCACCAUGGGGCCUGAUCUGCAGCUCAUCGGGAGAUAGACAGCAGCUCAGCAGAAGAGAUACCACAAAAAAAUGUCAGCAACCCCAAUCAGAAACAACUUUCAGGACCUUUGGACGCCCAUUUAAUGCCUGCAGAUCCCCUAGGGGAGACUACACAGCUGACAGUGGCACUGGUGAGGAAACUAGAAGAGAAACAUCCUAAGGCCUCAGCUUAAAGGCUGCACAGGCCCCAAAAACCUGUGGCCAGAGGCUGAGAAUUGCACCAGAACUCCCACCGGCUUUAACACAGUGACAAUUCCCCCAGUGCGUCUGCUGCACAGUAAGUGAUAUGGGGCUGCAGUAUUUAGGGGAGGGUCUGAACAUAAAAUUGCUCAUCUGCAUGUGUGCAAGCAUAUUCUGUGUUGCAUGUGAAAUAAUGUUCAUUCAGCUGUACAGUUUAAUGAAAAGUAACUCAUUAAAAGUGGGGGUUAAUCAAAUCUAUCAAAAAAAAAAAAGCUUUCAUGUACGCAAUAUAUAAG